rnacentral:rRNA from 1 species
AAGGAGGCAGCAGUGAGGAAUAUUGGACAAUGGGCGCAAGCCUGAUCCAGCAAUGCCGCGUGUGUGAAGAAGGCCUGCGGGUUGUAAAGCACUUUUGUUCGGGAAGAAAUCAUGCUGGUUAAUACCUGGUAUGGAUGACGGUACCGAAAGAAUAAGCACCGGCUAACUUCGUGCCAGCAGCCGCGGUAAUACGAAGGGUGCAAGCGUUAAUCGGAAUUACUGGGCGUAAAGGGUGCGUAGGCGGCCUUUUAAGUCGGAUGUGAAAUCCCCGGGCUCAACCUGGGAAUGGCAUUCGAUACUGGGAGGCUAGAGUUUGGGAGAGGGUGGUGGAAUUCCCGGUGUAGCGGUGAAAUGCGUAGAGAUCGGGAAGAACAUCAGUGGCGAAGGCGGCCACCUGGCCUAAAACUGACGCUGAGGCACGAAAGCGUGGGGAGCAAACAGGAUUAGAUACCCGAGUAU